CAGGUAGGACUACCCG
rnacentral:rRNA from 1 species